rnacentral:rRNA from 1 species
GAUGAACGCUGGCGGCGUGCCUAAUACAUGCAAGUCGAGCGAACGGACGAGAACCUUCCUUCUCUGAUGUUUGCGGCGGGCGGGUGUGUAACACGUGGAUAACCUCCCUAUAAGACUGGGAUAACUUCGGGAAACCGGAGCUAAUACCGUAUAAUAUUUUGAUCCGCAUGGUUCAAUAGUGAAAUACAGUCUUGCCGUCACUUAUAGAUGGUUCCGCGUUGCAUUAGCUAGUUGGUAAGGUAGCGGCUUACGAAGGCAACGAUGAAUAGCCGACCUGAGAGGGUGUCCGGCAACCCUGGAACGGGACCACGGUCAGGACUCCUAGGGAAGGCGGCAGUAGGGAAUCUUCCGCAAUGGGCGAAGGCCUGACGGGGCAACGCCGCGUGGGUGAUGAAGGUCUCCGGAUCGUAAGACUCUGUUAUUAGGGAGGAAGAGAUGUGUAAGUGACUGUGCACAUCUUGACGGUACCUAAUCAGAAAGCCACGGCUAACUACGUG